rnacentral:rRNA from 1 species
UCGGGAAUUUUGGGCAAUGGGCGAAAGCCUGACCCAGCAACGCCGCGUGAAGGAUGAAAUCCCUCGGGAUGUAAACUUCGCAAGAAUAGGAAGAAUUAGUGGGGGCUAAUACUCCCCAUGAUGACGGUACUAUUUGUAAGCUCCGGCUAACUCCGUGCCAGCAGCCGCGGUAAUACGGGGGGAGCAAGCGUUGUUCGGAUUUACUGGGCGUAAAGGGCGCGUAGGCGGCCAGCGCAAGUCAGUUGUGAAAUCUCCGGGCUUAACUCGGAAAGGUCAACUGAUACUGCGCGGCUAGAGUGCAGAAGGGGCAACUGGAAUUCUCGGUGUAGCGGUGAAAUGCGUAGAUAUCGAGAGGAACACCUGCGGCGAAGGCGGGUUGCUGGGCUGACACUGACGCUGAUGCGCGAAAGCCAGGGGAGCGAACGG